CGAUACUCCGUUCUAAUGUAAUUUGAAGCGCUUCGGCAAAUUCAAUUUAUGAUCCUUUUUAUAAAUGCCGAGACGAAGCUGGAGUGAGAAGUUAUUUGGAUACAGAAGGACAACAUUAUUUGCCGUCAUGGCGGCUGUAAAGUCCGACACCAACGAGCUGCUGAAGCAUGCAAAUCAAAAAUUUACUGCUAAAAUGUUAUCGGAAGUAGUAAAACAAAACCCACAGAAGAGCGUGGUGUUAUCUGCGUUUUCGGUGCUGACUCCACUCGCUCAGCUCAGCUUGGCCUCUGAAGGGGCGUCUCACGACGAGCUGCUCAACGCCAUCGGCAUGCCCAAUGACAACUCCACGAAGGAAGUAUUUACCUCAUUGACCAAAGAUGUAUCGAAGAUACAGGGCGUGGAACUUAAACUAGCCAGCAAAGUGUACGUGGCUGCUAACUACGAGCUGAAUGAGCAGUUCCAAGCUACUACCAAAAAAGUGUUUAAUUCUGAAGUCCAGAAUGUUAAUUUCGUGAAGAAUUUAGAGGCCGCUAAAACUAUUAACACAUGGGUGGAAGAUCAAACCAACAAACGCAUCAAAGAUUUAGUCGAACCUAGUGAGUUGGACGGGAGCACCCGCGCUGUUUUGGUCAACGCUAUAUAUUUCAAGGGAAGCUGGUUGGAGAAGUUUGACCCGAAGUUGACGCAAAAUAAAAAAUUCCAAGUCUCCAAGGACAAAUCUGUUGACCUUCCAUUCAUGUACAAGAACAAAAAUUUUAAAUACGGAGAGAGUCAAGAACUUAAUGCUCAGCUCUUGGAACUGCCAUACCAAGGCGAAGAAGCAUCAUUCCUAGUUGUACUGCCGAGGGAGGUCGAUGGGUUGGCAGCCUUGGAAGAGAAACUAAAGGACCCCACUGUGCUUCAAAAAGCCAUUGACAACAUGUCGCCCCAAGAAGUCAAUGUCUACUUGCCGAAAUUCAAAAUUGAAACAACAACUGAUCUUAAACAAGCUCUUGAAAACAUGGAUGUAAAGAAAGUGUUCGACGCUAGCCAAGCUAAACUGACUGGCCUGCUUAAAUCCCCAGAAACACUGUUCAUAAGUGCAGCGAAACAAAAGGCGUUCAUUGAAGUCAACGAAGAAGGCGCGGAGGCCGCUGCUGCAAACGAACCUUUAACAGAUAGAGCAGCAUUUGAAAUUGACGAAUUCCUUGCUGACAAACCGUUUUACUUCGAACUGCGAAUGUCUGGUCAAAUUGUUUUCUCUGGCGUUUUCCAAUUCAAUGAUGAUUAAAAGGAAUUUUAAUAAUUUACAACAAACAAAUCGUCGCGUUUUAUGGACAUGUAAUUUAUGUAUUAAUACGUAAUUGAAUUCAUUUGUUUGUUUUUUUAUUCAUAUUAAUUAAUUUAAUUUUUCUUAAAAAUUUACCUAAAACACAUAUAAUAAAUGCGUAAUAAUAAUCUAAAUCGAAUCAAAAUUCCUUAUUAAUCGAUACUAUUAAUUAACAAUUAAUUACAUUUGAAAUAAAUUUUAAAUCUUUCAUGUCGUUAUAUUCCGUUUUAAGUUUACAAAUAUGUACUUAUAAUCUUAAUAAAGUUAUCAAUCCAUCUUUGACGCUGAUAGACCCUUCUAUUUUGAACUGCGAGAGUUUAACAAACCACUAUUCAAUGGCGUAUUUGUCAAUUGAAAAUUUUAAACAGACGUAGACGUUCUAUCAAUUAUAAGAUAUUCAAUGAUAUCAAGAAGAUCUGUAUUUGACAAAAAUUGUAAUUUAACAAUGAUAAAUAAAAGGAAUUCUCAACUUAA